rnacentral:rRNA from 1 species
CCGGCACGGGUGAGUAACGCGUAUGCAACUUGCCCAUCAGAGGGGAGUAACCCGGCGAAAGUCGGACUAAUACCGCAUGAAGCAGGGGCCCCGCAUGGGGAUAUUUGCUAAAGAUUCAUCGCUGAUAGAUAGGCAUGCGUUCCAUUAGGCAGUUGGCGGGGUAACGGCCCACCAAACCGACGAUGGAUAGGGGUUCUGAGAGGAAGGUCCCCCACAUUGGUACUGAGACACGGACCAA